rnacentral:rRNA from 1 species
ACUCAAAUGAAUUGACGGGGGCCCGCACAAGCGGCGGAGCGUGUGGUUUAAUUCGAUGCUACACGAAGAACCUUACCCAGGCUUGACAUGCAGUUGGUAGGGAAGGGAAACCGGACCGACCCGCAAGGGAGGCUGCACAGGUGCUGCAUGGCUGUCGUCAGCUCGUGCCGUGAGGUGUUAGGUUAAGUCCUGUAACGAGCGCAACCCGCGUCGUCAGUUACAAGUGUCUGGCGAGACUGCCGCUUUCAAGGCGGAGGAAGGUGCGGAUGACGUCAAGUCAGCAUGGCCUUGAUGUCUGGGGCGACACACACGCUACAAUGGGCGGCACAAUGGGAUGCGAAGGGGCGACCUGGAGCCAAUCCACCAGAGCCGUUCUCAGUUCGGAUUGGAGGCUGCAACCCGCCUCCAUGAAGCCGGAGUCGCUAGUAACCGCGCGUCAGCCAUAGUGCGGUGAAUACGUUCCCGGGCCUUGUACACACCGCCCGU